CAUAUACAUUCCAACUCUUGAGUCCCCUAUCAGUUUCAUAAGAGCUGUUGUGAUUCAGCCUUUUCCACAAAAGGCUGCUGACUAAUGCCUUUUUCUUGUUCUUAACAUGAAUAAAGCAAACCAUAUUUUGUUUAUAACUGAUUAGAUUCUAGAGCUGUACUAAUAUGGUCAGUAACCACUAGCCACGUCUUGUUACUUACAUUUAAAUUUAUUAACAUAUAAUUAAAAAUUUAGUUCCUCAGUCUCAUUAGCAACAUUUCAGUAGCCUUGUGUGGCUAGUAGCUACUGUAUUGGACAUGCAGAUACAGAGCAUUUUUAUCAUCACAGAAGAUUCUGUUGGACAGCACUGCUUUAAAGAAUCAGUUAUUUGGGGGGAUUUAUAUUGUCUUCUGUGGGUACAAGAGUCAUGGUCUUUAUGCACCUUCACAAGUACUUAACAAGGUUACCCCUUACAUAAUGAUUGUUUUACUCUGGGUGAUAAUGGUAUGAAAUUACUGAACACACUCUGAUCUCUAACACCGUAAUCUACCCCAAAAUGAAGUUAGUAGGGUAUCUGCCACCUAAAAUGAUUUCCCAAAGAAGUGAUAGAAUGUUUUUUAAAUUAGACCUUUGACAUUUUCCCCAUGUUUUUUAUGUC